CAUCCCAUCAUUUACAGCAAAGCAGAAGUUGGACAUCACUGACUUUAUACUAGCGAACCCAAAUCCAGCAUCAAGAGCAAAAACCAGCCCAAUAUUUAGAGAACUACUGAGUCGAGGAAACAGCUGAAUGAUGAGUGCUGCUCAGAGUGAAACUAUACUGGAGUCCAAACUGGAGGCCUUGCAGUGCCACUUCACCUGGGAUCUGGACCCCAGCAGGUCCGUACUUCUACGUCGCAGGGAAAAGUUCGAGGACAUCGGCACAGAGGAGGGAAACAGCUGGCUGGGUCACAUUUACAACCUGCGGGGGUUCAUUCAAUACAAGCUGGGGUUGACUACAGACGCCCAGAGUUUGUUCAACAAGGCUGCAGAGGCCUUCCGCCAGAUGAGAAGUGCAGAUGAGGGUCCCUGGUUAGUGGUGAACUACGGGAACCUGGCUUGGCUGAACCACCACCUGGGAGACCAAGCAGAGAGUCAGGCUUACCUGACAAAGAUCGACGCCCUGAAGAAUAAAUACCCAUCUCCAUCCCAGGACGAGCUCCAUCCAGAGAUCUACGCUGAAAAAGCCUGGACCCUGAUGAAGUUCAGCAGAGACAGAAAUCUGGCUGCAGAUUACUUCCAGAGAGCCAUCAAGAUGCAGCCGGACAUGGUGGAGUGGAACACCAGCCACGUCUUAGGGUUAGCGAGAGCUUUUAAAGACAGCAACACGGGGCUGGAGGCUGACAUGUUGGAGAAAGUGAGAAUCGCCAAGGAACAGGAUCCAGAGAACUUGUACCUCGCUGUUUACUACCUUGAGCAAUGUGUUAAGAAAGGAGAGAGAAUUGAAGAUGAAGCUCGAGAGUUAGCCAGAAAGGUUUUGAGAAAUCCCGUCAGCAGCUACAGUGGUAUGAAACCAUUAAUGAUGGUUUACAGAAACUAUGUUUCUAUUGAUGAGGCCAUUGAAUUGGCAGACGAGGCUCUGGAAAACCAUCCAGAUGAGCGUUAUCUGAAGAGAUGUGCUGCACUCUGUUACAAAUGGAAGAUCAUUUUUUUCAGGGACAGUCGCCCAAAGCAAAGCAUGAUAGACAGAGCAAUCAGUCUCAAUAAGGAGGUGAUUUCUCUUUACCCUCAUUCUUCACUUACGAAGGAACUAGCUCUCGCAAAUAUACAUGCAAAAUCCAAUCACGGCCAGGGUGAAGCUGAGGAGAUAUAUUGGGAACUGCUAGAAAGGGAUCUGGAACCUCCUGAGAAGCAGGUCCUUUACAACCACUACGCAAAAUAUUUAUUCUACGAUCAACGGGACCCGCAAAGUUCAAUACGAUAUAACAUGAAGGCGGCAGCGAUACCGCAUCAAUCCUUCUUUCGUGGGGACAGCAUCACAACUCUGAAGAACAUUAAAGACAAAAACAGGAACCCAAUGUGUAGAGAAAUAGAGGAGUUUCUGGCAAAUCUGCAAAAACCAUAGUGUUUUUAACAGCACUGGUUCUGAAUCUACUAAAAAAUUUAGAUAUUGCAUUUGCUAAAUAAUCUCCACUUACUUUUUAAUUUAAUUACAUAUAAAACUACAUCUAUACUUCUUAAAAUAAAGUUAAAAUGGAAGUGAGAAUCUUACAGUGAAGACCUGCUAAUCAUUGCAAGGGAAGAAGUCAAGUUUGGCCCAAUUCAACGCAAAUGCAAAAUGCAAAAAAAAAGCAUGAGCUGUAUCCUUUAAAGGCAGGUUUCAACAAGUGUCUGCAAGUUUUUAGACUUAAGUACAUUUAAUGGAAGACAAAAGCUUUUUUUAAAAACUAUCUAAAAAUUGACUCAUUUG